AGCUCGCUGCGGACCGAACCACUCGGAGAAAGCAGCUCACUAAACUUACCAUUCAAAGCAACAAUGCUGCUAAAAAACUACAGGAGACAAACGCUUUGGGGGAAAGGUUGAUGCGUCGCUCUGAGCUGUGCAGAAAGAUGGAGACGGAGCACGAGAAGGUUCUGCCCUUCUACAAAUCAUCAUUGAGUGAAGAAGAGCUGAGUCAGGAGAAAGCCAAUGCCAUGAAGUCGACGAAUGAGAAACUCCCUCAGCUAAUACAUGACUAUUCUCCUCUUGGGAAGUUUUGGCAACG